rnacentral:rRNA from 1 species
UCUUAUGGUCAUACUACCCUAAACAUACCUUAUUUCAUCUGGUCUCAGAAGCUAAGCAGAGUCAGACCUGGUUAGUACUUGGAUGGGAGAUUGCUGAGUAAUACCAGGUGCUGUACGCC